rnacentral:rRNA from 1 species
UACGUAGGGGGCAAGCGUUGUCCGGAAUCAUUGGGCGUAAAGAGCGCGUAGGCGGCCCCGUAAGUCCGCUGUGAAAGUCAAGGGCUCAACCCUUGAAUGCCGGUGGAUACUGCAGGGCUAGAGUCCGGAAGAGGCGAGUGGAAUUCCAGGUGUAGCGGUGGAAUGCGCAGAUAUCAGGAGGAACACCGAUGGCGAAGGCAGAUCUCUGGGCCGUAACUGACGCUGAGGAGCGAAAGCGUGGGGAGCGAACAGG